rnacentral:rRNA from 1 species
GACGAACGCUGGCGGCGUGCCUAACACAUGCAAGUCGAACGGAGUGAAUCGCUUCGGUGGUUCACUUAGUGGCAAACGGGUGAGUAACGCGUGAGGAACCUGCCUUUCAGUGGGGGACAACAGUUGGAAACGACUGCUAAUACCGCAUAACAUACACUGAGCGCAUGCUCGGUGUAUCAAAGCUUUAUGUGCUGAAAGAUGGCCUCGCGUCUGAUUAGAUAGUUGGUGAGGUAACGGCUCACCAAGUCGACGAUCAGUAGCCGGACUGAGAGGUUGAACGGCCACAUUGGGACUGAGAUACGGCCCAGACUCCUACGGGAGGCAGCAGUGGGGAAUAUUGGGCAAUGGGGGAAACCCUGACCCAGCAACGCCGCGUGAAGGAAGAAGGCUUUCGGGUUGUAAACUUCUUUUACCAGGGACGAAGACGUGACGGUACCUGGAGAAAAGCCACGGCUAACUACGUG